rnacentral:rRNA from 1 species
UACGGGGGGGGGCAAGCGUUGUUCGGAAUUACUGGGCGUAAAGGGCUCGUAGGCGGCCAACUAAGUCAGACGUGAAAUCCCCAGGCUCAACCUGGGAACUGCGUCUGAUACUGGAUGGCUUGAAUCCGGGAGAGGGAUGCAGAAUUCCAGGUGUAGCGGUGAAAUGCGUAGAUAUCUGGAGGAACACCGAUGGCGAAGGCAGCCCCCUGGGUCAAGACUGACGCUCAUGCACGAAAGCGUGGGGAUCAAACAGG